UACGUAGGGUGCAAGCGUUGUCCGGAAUUAUUGGGCGUAAAGGGCUCGUAGGCGGUCCGUCACGUCGGGAGUGAAAUCCUGGGGCUUAACCCCAGAACUGCUUCCGAUACGGGCAGACUAGAGGUAGGUAGGGGAGAACGGAAUUCCUGGUGUAGCGGUGAAAUGCGCAGAUAUCAGGAGGAACACCGGUGGCGAAGGCGGUUCUCUGGGCAUUACCUGACGCUGAGGAGCGAAAGUGUGGGGAGCGAACAGG
rnacentral:rRNA from 1 species